CCGGCGAGUUACGAUUGCAUGCGAGGUUAAGUUGAAGAGACGGAGCCGCAGCGAAAGCGAGUCUGAAUAGGGCGUUUGAGUAUGUAGUCGUAGACCCGAAACCAUGUGAUCUACCCAUGUCCAGGUUGAAGGUGCGGUAAAACGCACUGGAGGACCGAACCCACGUACGUUGAAAAGUGCGGGGAUGAGGUGUGGGUAGCGGAGAAAUUCCAAACGAACUUGGAGAUAGCUGGUUCUCUCCGAAAUAGCUUUAGGGCUAGCCUCGGAAUUGAGAAUGAUGGAGGUAGAGCACUGUUUGGACUAGGGGCCCAUCUCGGGUUACCGAAUUCAGAUAAACUCCGAAUGCCAUUCAUUCAUAUCCGGGAGUCAGACUGUGAGUGAUAAGAUCCAUAGUCGAAAGGGAAACAGCCCAGACCACCAGCUAAGGUCCCAAAAUAUAUGUUAAGUGGAAAAGGAUGUGGGGUUGCACAGACAACUAGG
rnacentral:rRNA from 1 species